GACGAACGCUGGCGGCGUGCUUAAAACAUGCAAGUCGAACGGACUUCUCAUGAAGCUUGCGAUUGAGAAGUUAGUGGCGGACGGGUGAGUAACGCGUGGGCAACCUGCCCCUGAGCCCGGGAUAACAGUUCGAAAGGACUGCUAAGACCGGAUAUACUUGCGGUGAAAGCAUUUCACUGUAAGGAAAGGGAACGCUCAGGGAUGGGCCCGCGUCCCAUUAGCUAAGUUGGUGAGGUAACGGCCCACCAAGGCGAACGAUGGGUAGCCGGCCUGAGAGGGUGAACGGCCACACUGGGACUGAGACACGGCCCAGACUCCUACGGGAGCAGCAGUUGGAAUCUUCGGCAAUGGGCCAAGCCUGACCGAGCAAACGCCGCGUGAGUGAUGAAGGUUUUCGGAUUUGUAAAGCUCUGUCGUUCCGGGACGAUAAUGACGGUACCGGAGGAGGAAGCCACGGCGUAACUACGUGCCAGCAGCCGACGGUAAAAAGUGUGUGUA
rnacentral:rRNA from 1 species